rnacentral:rRNA from 1 species
GUGAGGAAUUUUCCGCAAUGGGCGAAAGCCUGACGGAGCAAUGCCGCGUGAAGGAUGAAGGCCUAUGGGUUGUAAACUUCUUUUCUCAGAAAAGAAUUAUGACGGUAUCUGAGGAAUAAGCAUCGGCUAACUCUGUGACAGCAGCCGCGGUAAGACAGAGGAUGCAAGCGUUAUCCGGAAUGAUUGGGCGUAAAGCGUCUGUAGGUUGUUUAAAAAGUAUUCUGUCAAAGAUUAGGGCUUAACCCUAGAUAGGCAGAAUAAACUUUUAAGCUAGAGUUUGGUAGAGGCAGAGGGAAUUCCCGGUGGAGCCGUGAAAUGCGUAGAUAUCGGGAGGAACACCAAAGGCGAAGGCACUCUGCUGGGCCAAUACUAACACUGAGAGACGAAAGCGAGGGGAGCAAAUGGGAUUAGAUACCCGAGUAGUCC